rnacentral:rRNA from 1 species
UGGGGAAUAUUGCACAAUGGGCGAAAGCCUGAUGCAGCAACGCCGCGUGAGUGAUGAAGGCCUUCGGGUUGUAAAAGCUCUGUCUUUUGGGACGAUAAUGACGGUACCAAAGGAGGAAGCCACGGCUAACUACGUGCCAGCAGCCGCGGUAAUACGUAGGUGGCAAGCGUUGUCCGGAUUUUACUGGGCGUAAAGGAUGCGUAGGCGGAUUUUUCAAGUGAGAUGUGAAAAUCCCUAAGCUUAACUUGGGGACUGCAUUUCAUACUGGAAAUCUAGAGUGCGGGAGAGGAGAAUGGAAUUCCUAGUGUAGCGGUGAAAUGCGUAGAGAUUAGGAAGAACACCAGUGGCGAAGGCGAUUCUCUGGACCGUAACUGACGCUGAGGCAUGAAAGCGUGGGUAGCAAACAGGAUUAGAUACCCUGGUAGUCCACGCCGUAAACGAUGAGUACUAGGUGUAGGAGGUAUCGACCCCGUUCUGUGCCGCAGUUAACAC